rnacentral:lncRNA from 1 species
GUGUUUCUGUUCCGAGAAAAGACAUGUGUGUGUGCUUUUGUUGUUAGUGUGUGUGUCGUGUGUAUCGUUUGCUUGGUCGAAUAUUAUAAGAAAAGCCGUCACCACCACCGUGAGGUGGUGACAGUCACCUCUGACCACCGCCUGCCGCCACAAGGGUGGCUGAGCAUGUGUGCGUGUGUUAUAUUAUGUGUGUGUUUCUUUUGGAUAUAUGUUGUAUAAUGUAUUUGUAUGGACGGAAAAUCCGAAGAAAACCACUACCACCACCGUGAGGUGGUGGUUGCCGCCUUCUGCUGCCACCCGCCGCCGUGUUGGGUGGCAGUGUGCAUUGUGUGAUUGGAUUACUAGUUGACAUGCUUAGACAUAGUUAGUCUAAAAUCAUAACCAUCACCACAAGGUAGUGUCCGCCGCCGUGAGCCGCCGUUAACCACCACUACCUGAGGUGGUAAUNUCCGCCCCCCCCCCCGCCCCCCGCCGUUAACCACCACUACCUGAGGUGGUAAUGGUGUUGGAUAAGGUGUCUAAGUCCAUAACUAUUUCGGGUCAGUACUUGACCCGACCCGGCAUGGUCCAUUUGGGUUGCAUGGCACCAUGCAAUUGGAUAGACUAAAUGAGAGAAAUAACACUUGGAGAUUAUUAAUAUAUUAUAAGUUCUAAUAUAUUGAUAAUAUUAUUUAAUUAGUUUGAUUAAGAAUUAAUUAAGUGAUCAAAUGAUAACUAAUUAAAUAUAUGGGUUGAUUAUGUAAAUUGUAACGCCCGCAAAUCCGGGCUAGUCAAUUUAGAGGCAAUAGGGGUCGAAAACGACUUUUCGACAAAAGAUUAUUUAGAAUAAAUAAUCUUAACCAAGUUGUAGAGUAUUUUACAAGGUUUUCGUACAUAUAAAGAACGCCGAAAACCGAGUUAUAACGAAGAAGUUAUGACCCGUUGAAGUUUCGCGACGGAACUGGCACGAUACCGGGAAGCGUAAAUAGUGAAUUUACGAUAGAGCGAGAUUUAGCCUUAGCGAUCUAAACGAAAGUCGUAGAAUAUGUUAAACUAAGAACAUCGAUAAAAAGAACGCCCAAAUCUGACUUCGUAUGAGGAAGUUAUGAUUUUUCUAAGAUUUAGCAUAGCAGUGCACAGCCCGAAAUCUGAAUUUUAGAUCGGUCGAUUUUUAGCCGACGGG